AGCAAAGGGAACUCGAUGAGAAGUUCGUAGUAUGGGCCGAAACCAUAGUGCUGUUGUAGCUUCCUUUGGG
rnacentral:tRNA from 1 species